rnacentral:rRNA from 1 species
UUGAUGCCGCGUGAGUGAAGAAGGCUUUGGGUUGUAAGCUCUUUUGUAGGGGAAGAUAAUGACUGUACCCUAAGAAUAAGGUCCGGCUAACUUCGUGCCAGCAGCCGCGGUAAUACGAAGGGACCUAGCGUAGUUCGGAAUUACUGGGCGUAAAGCGCGCGUAGGCUGUUGAGUUAGUUAAUUGUGAAAUCCCAAAGCUUAACUUUGGAACUGCAAUUAAAACUGCUCGACUAGAGUUUGAUAGAGGAAAGCGGAAUACAUAGUGUAGAGGUGAAAUUCGUAGAUAUUAUGUAGAACACCAGUUGCAAAGGCGGCUUUCUGGGUCAACACUGACGCUGAGGCGCGAAAGUAUGGGUAGCAAAGAGGAUUAGAUACCCUCGUAGUCCAUACCAUAAACGAUGAUUGCUAGAUGUUGGAAAUUUAUUUUCAGUAUCGCAGCUAACGCAUUAAGCAAUCCGCCUGGGGAGUACGACCGCAAGGUUAAAACUCAAAUGAAUUGACGGGGACCCGCACAAGCGGUGGAGCAUGUGGUUUAAUUCGAAGAUACGCGCAGAACC